CAUUCACAUUGCGCGGAAAGUCGGUCAACACUGUAAACAAGAUCGCUUUCCCAGCGUUAAAGGCUCUACUCGAGGAAGAAAGAACAGGAAGAUCUUAACUUUCGUAAAGGCGAAUAACUUCUUUUGACGAUUCUGAACGAGGUUUCCCGGGUUACACACACGGGCUGGACGGAAUUUAAACACGCCGUUAAUACGUCUGAAUCGAUGAUAAAAUUUCACGUUGCGUACACAGUUACAGCCGGAUUUCACGUCCAUCCUACCUGGCACCGCAUCCUCUUCCGGUGUCGCCAUCGUAGAACUCGUGGAACAGGAACAGGUUCCGGAAGUUAGGGUCAUUGUUGUAGAUCUCGUGCGGUUCUGAAACACAUGUUGGACACCCAUUAGUCUUGUGGUACAGAACA